UACAGAGGUCUCAAGCGUUGUUCGGAUUCAUUGGGCGUAAAGGGUGCGUAGGUGGCGCCGUAAGUCGGGUGUGAAAUUUCGGAGCUUAACUCCGAAACUGCAUUCGAUACUGCGGUGCUUGAGGACUGGAGAGGAGACUGGAAUUCAUGGUGUAGCAGUGAAAUGCGUAGAGAUCAUGAGGAGACCAGUGGCGAAGGCGGGUCUCUGGACAGUUCCUGACACUGAGGCACGAAGGCCAGGGGAGCAAACGGG
rnacentral:rRNA from 1 species